rnacentral:sRNA from 1 species
AGGACUUCCCCUUGCGCGGUCGCGACGUGGCGCGCUGGUUCCCGGGCCACAUGGCCAAGGGUGAGGCACGGCGGGGAGGGGCAAGGUCAUGCCCACGGCCGCGGCGCCUCUGCUUCCCUCCCACCCCCGUUUCGGCAGUCGCCUGCCUGUCCCGGUCGUCCUGGGCUGGCCCCGCCCCUUCUCCCUCGUCUCCCCUCCUUUCCCGGUCUCACCCGCUCCCGGAGCCGCCGGAACCCCUUCCCCUGCGCAGCUGCGGGAGAGGCCGUUUCCCGCGAGUGCUCCCGCAGCGCAGCCUGGGACCCGGGGCCUGCUUGACCGACCUCUGGCCUGUCGCCCCUGUCCUCUGUUCCCAGCAAGUGCCUUCUGCCCCUUUAAUCCCCCGAAGCCUCCGUUUCCACAUGUUCUUGACAGGAUAGACUUUUCUGAGUCUUUUGGGGACUAUAGAUGAAACAGUGGGUAUGAAGGCACCUGUUCAGCUUUAACUGAUAUUUUGAGUCGUUCUCCUGUUUAAACGUCUUUGGGCUGAAGAAGAUGCAGAGCAGCCUGAAGCUGGUGGACUGUAUCAUCGAGGUCCACGAUGCCCGGAUCCCACUUUCAGGCCGCAACCCUCUGUUUCAGGAAACCCUUGGGCUUAAGCCUCACUUGCUGGUCCUCAACAAGAUGGACUUGGCAGAUCUUACAGAGCAGCAGAAAAUUAUGCAACACUUAGAAGGAGAAGGCUUAAAAAAUGUCAUUUUUACCAACUGUGUAAAGGAUGAAAAUGUCAAGCAGAUCAUCCCGAUGGUCACUGAACUGAUUGGGAGAAGCCACCGCUACCACCGAAGAGAGAACCUGGAGUACUGUAUCAUGGUCAUCGGGGUCCCCAACGUGGGCAAGUCCUCCCUCAUCAACUCCCUCCGGAGGCAGCACCUCAGGAAAGGAAAAGCCACCAGGGUGGGUGGCGAGCCUGGGAUCACCAGAGCUGUGAUGUCCAAAAUUCAGGUCUCUGAGCGGCCCCUGCUGUUCCUGUUGGACACUCCUGGCGUGCUGGCUCCUCGGAUUGAAAGUGUGGAGACAGGCCUGAAGCUGGCCCUGUGUGGUGAGCCGGGGCUGGGGCUGGGGCUGGGGCUGGGGCUGGGGCCGGGGCCGGGGCCCCUGCCCACCCCACCUUUAGGGCUGGCUUUGGCACAGGGUCCCUAGACUGGAGUUGUUACUGCCUUUGACCUGGUUGCUGCCAGACGUUCCUCGAAGCUUAGUGUGAGAGCUGUAGUAGUGCACAGCUGACAGGCACUGGUCACCAUUACACCCUGCCCCAUGAGUGGCUUUCGCUUUCCCCAUUUGACGGACCAGGGCAGAGAGGUUGGUCACAGGUGCCAGGCAGGAGUGGGGGCCGGGACCACAGCCGAGUGCCGUCCUCUGGGUUAGUGUCUUUGUCAGUGGGUGGCCUCUUCCUUACGACAUGGUGUCUUUGGGCUAGGACUGGAAGGGAUGUGUUUGAGCUUGGCAGGAGCAUAGAUGUGGCUGUUUCCAGUGCUCACCUCGGCUGCUGCUUCCACAGGAACGGUGCUGGACCACCUAGUCGGGGAGGAGACCAUGGCUGACUACCUGCUGUACACCCUCAACAAACACCAGCGCUUUGGGUAUGUGCAGCACUACGGCCUGGGCAGUGCCUGUGACAACAUAGAGCGUGUGCUGAAGAGUGUGGCUGUGAAGCUGGGGAAGACGCAGAAGGUGAAGGUGCUCACGGGCACGGGUAACGUGAACGUUAUUCAGCCUAACUAUCCCGCGGCAGCCCGUGACUUCCUCCAGACCUUCCGCCGUGGGCUGCUGGGUUCCGUGAUGCUGGACCUCGACAUCCUGCGGGGCCACCCCCCGGCUGAGACUGUGCCCUGAACUUGUCCGGGUGGGGAGGGCUGGAGGCAGGUGGCCUCCCAGACCUCCUGACCUGGGUGGUUGAGGCUCAAGACAGCUCACCCAGUCCAGAAGCUCCAUGCUGGCCACUAGGGUGCUGUGCUCUCUGGCGCCCCACGGCCUGGCCAGCUCCGGGGGCCCCAGUUCCAGGGGCCAAGCAGGUGGGAGUGGACACCAGGCUUCCCAGUGGACGUCCCUGAGCAGUUCCGCAUGCUUGGUUCUCCUGGAGCUUCCUGCUCAGGCCUCUUGAGAAACGGAUGCUGUCUCAGAAGGAGUUAAAGCUAUAACUUGUAACCUUUAAAAUCUCCAAUUAAAGGGCCUAUUUCUUACUGGCC